rnacentral:lncRNA from 1 species
CUGACUUCUCAGAAUAUGCCUUCUCACAUUUUAGAAGAUUCAGGCUGUCUCCCUCAUUGCCAUGCUGACAAGCAGCAACAGACAUAAAGUUGAAAUAAAAAUGAAACCACAUGACAGGACUGGGACCCUCUCCUGUUUCCCCACUGAGUGGGUAAUCCAGGUUCACAAUACAUCCGGUGCUUCACAGACAAUACACGGCUUUCAGUUGCUGGACUGUUAUAAGAACAGUGACUCAAACCCUGCAGCAAUUUGUUUCCUGGCUUUCUGUUCAUCGAGAACUCCUCUAGGCACCCUGAUAGAAUCUAUGUAUACUCUAUCAUUGAAUGAUAUUCCUAAGCCUUUUUUACUUCUUCUGGGUAUUUGUGAUGUUUCUCUUUCAAAUGCCAGGGUGAAGGGUAUAGCUAAUUGAACAAGUGCCUCCCCAAUUAGAUGGUAGGGUGGACUGUAAGAUCUUCCCUCCACAGUACCACCAGAGAUCUGCUCUGGAGAUCUCAAGUCUUGAGCAGUUUCCUAUCAAGUCCUUGGUAGCACAAGGCAAAUACUCCCAGAUUCUGGGUAGCACUCACACCCUGCUGUGAGAUGCAAGCUAGGUUACCUAUAGCUGUAGGUUACCUGUAGCUGUAGAGAAUGCAGGGGGAACCAUGAUAUUGCUGUUACACAAGGAAGGGAACAGCAAAGAGAGACACUUACAAGCCUCAUUUUCCCAGGCAGUCUUUUCUUGGAACAAUGCAAUACAACAUUUCUAUUCCCACACCUUGGUAUUUCGCUUUCUUAGAAACUUUCAAUGAUUUUUAAGCUGUCAGUUAUGGUUUGUUACU